rnacentral:rRNA from 1 species
UACGAAGGGGGCUAGCGUUGCUCGGAUUUACUGGGCGUAAAGGGCGCGUAGGCGGACAUUUAAGUCAGGGGUGAAAUCCCGGGCUCAACCUCGGAACUGCCUUUGAUACUGGGUGUCUUGAGUGUGAGAGAGGUAUGUGGAACUCCGAGUGUAGAGGUGAAAUUCGUAGAUAUUCGGAAGAACACCAGUGGCGAAGGCGACAUACUGGCUCAUUACUGACGCUGAGGCGCGAAAGCGUGGGGAGCAAACAGG